CUCCCGAUUCAGUCGAUUCCAAGAAAAGGUCCGGAUUCGAGGCGCGGAGAGAAGACAAUCCAUCCAGUCUGUCCCGAUUCGAGGCGCUGCGGACCGGCCGCGUCGAAUCCAUCCAGUCCAGAUUUGAGGCGCAAAGAGGAGUCAAUUCAUCCAAUCCAUGAAUCGCCGUCCGACUGUUCGUCUCAUGAAACUGCUUCCCUGGGGUUUCAAAGAAUUAAUCACUCUUCAGUUUCUCUCCAAGGCUCUUUGUGCACCCCUCGCGGUCAUUAAUGGAUGCCUGGCUCUUUGUUUCUCAUUUUUCCGUUUUGUAUAUAUGCUUCCUCUACGCUCACUCUUGUAACUCCGGCGACAGAACAUCCAUCAGCAUGUUGCUCUUGUAUUGUUCAUGCUGGGAGGUGGUCAACUGAUUCGGCCAGAUAUUGGAAACUGGUUCUUGCAUGUUUUUUUAAUUUCUGCAAUUCUUCUGGACAGAAAUGAGCAAAGCCCAAUAAUCUUGCAGAUAUUUGAAAGUAUGUGUGUGGAUUUUCAAGACAUGGUGCAGGCUUUGCAUCAUUCCAAGCAUAAGGCAAGAUACACUUGGUUCAAUCUGCAGGCAGUGAGGUCAGCAAAUCAUUAGAUGAGGGGAGGGGCUAUUUUAGUUACGACUGGAGGGACAACGAGCAGGAAGAGUAGGGCAACUGGAGUGCUAGAUACAGGGCAAGUUUGCUGAAGCACUUUUAUUAGUUCCAUCGACAAUACCAGGACUGGAGAACUGAAAGCCCUUGUAGAUGCAAGCGGUGUUCUAUUAAACCAAAAAAAAAGUGCACAACAUAAUACUACUACAUAGUUUGCGAUGUCGAUUUUCACAUGAUUUUCUAACUUCUUAAAUCGAUUUUUUUUGCAGGAACAAGAUUGACAGCGGCCUUUUGGAUUGCACUCUGAAUAAAGCUUCAAGCUCAAGGCCUUCGAUAUUUGUGAAGUUUUCUAGGUAGAAGAUUGACUAUACCAUCUUGGAGUGCACUAAUAUUAAUAAAUAAACCCUUGAAUAUUUCUAGGUAGAAGAUUGGCUAUAAGUUCUGUAAUUUACCCAAAUACUUAGCCCUAAAUAUGAGUGUUCUCUUUCAGAUCAUAUAUUGCCAGUAUUAUUAAGACAUCAUGUAUGUGAAGUUAUUU